rnacentral:misc_RNA from 1 species
AGCAGCCGCGGUAAUUCCAGCUCCAAUAGCGUAUAUUAAAGUUGCUGCAGUUAAAAAGCUCGUAGUUGAAUUUCGGGAUCAAUAUGUUGGUCGUGCCUCGGUACGUACUAGCUUAUUGGUUUUCUCCCUUCUGACGAACCAUGAUGUCAUUUAUUUGGUGUUAUGGGAAAUCAGGACUGUUACUUUGAAAAAUUAGAGUGUUUAAAGCAGGCUCACGCUUGAAUACAUUAGCAUGGAAUAAUGAAAUAGGACGUUUGAUUCUAUUUUGUUGGUUUCUAGGAUCGACGUAAUGAUUAAUAGGGAUAGUUGGGGGCAUUAGUAUUCAAUUGUCAGAGGUGAAAUUCUUGGAUUUAUUGAAGACUAACUACUGCGAAAGCAUUUGCCAAGGAUGUUUUCAUUAAUCAAGAACGAAAGUUAGGGGAUCGAAGACGAUCAGAUACCGUCGUAGUCUUAACCAUAAACUAUGCCGACUAGGGAUCGGAUGAUGUUUAAUUUUUAAUUGA